AGUGAACGCUGGCGGUAGGCCUAACACAUGCAAGUCGAACGGCAGCACAGUAAGAGCUUGCUCUUACGGGUGGCGAGUGGCGGACGGGUGAGGAAUACAUCGGAAUCUACUUUUUCGUGGGGGAUAACGUAGGGAAACUUACGCUAAUACCGCAUACGACCUACGGGUGAAAGCAGGGGAUCUUCGGACCUUGCGCGAUUGAAUGAGCCGAUGUCGGAUUAGCUAGUUGGCGGGGUAAAGGCCCACCAAGGCGACGAUCCGUAGCUGGUCUGAGAGGAUGAUCAGCCACACUGGAACUGAGACACGGUCCAGACUCCUACGGGAGGCAGCAGUGUGGAAUAUUAGACAAUGGGCGCAAGCCUGAUCCAGCCAUACCGCGUGGGUGAAGAAGGCCUUCGGGUUGUAAAGCCCUUUUGUUGGGAAAGAAAAGCAGCAGGUUAAUACCCCGCUGUUCUGACGGUACCCAAAGAAUAAGCACCGGCUAACUUCGUG
rnacentral:rRNA from 1 species